GAUGAACGCUAGCUACAGGCUUAACACAUGCAAGUCGCGGGGCAGCAUGGGGGUUGCUUGCCACUCCCGAUGGCGACCGGCGCACGGGUGAGUAACGCGUAUCCAACCUGCCCUUCACCACGGGAUAACCCGGCGAAAGUCGGACUAAUACCGUAUGUUGUCCAUUGACGGCAUCCGAUUUGGACGAAAGGCUUUGCGGUGAAGGAUGGGGAUGCGUCCGAUUAGCCAGACGGCGGGGUAACGGCCCACCGUGGCUACGAUCGGUAGGGGUUCUGAGAGGAAGGUCCCCCACACCGGAACCGGGACCCCGUCCAGAAUUCUACCGGAGGCAGCAGUGAGGAAUAUUUGGCAAUGGGCGUAAGCCUGAACCAGCCAAGUAGCGUGCAGGAUGACGGCCCUAUGGGUUGUAAACUGCUUUUAUGCGGGGAUAAAGUGGCCCACGUGUGGGCUUUUGCAGGUACCGCAUGAAUAAGGACCGGCUAAUUCCGUG
rnacentral:rRNA from 1 species